rnacentral:rRNA from 1 species
GAUGAACGCUGGCGGCGUGCCUAAUACAUGCAAGUCGAGCGAACGGACGAGAAGCUUGCUUUUCUGAUGUUAGCGGCGGACGGGUGAGUAACACGUGGAUAACCUACCUAUAAGACUGGGAUAACUUCGGGAAACCGGAGCUAAUACCGGAUAAUAUUUCGAACCGCAUGGUUCAAAAGUGAAGGACGGUCUUGCUGUCACUUAUAGAUGGAUCCGCGCUGCAUUAGCUAGUUGGUAAGGUAACGGCUUACCAAGGCAACGAUGCAUAGCCGACCUGAGAGGGUGAUCGGCCACACUGGAACUGAGACACGGUCCAGACUCCUACGGGAGGCAGCAGUAGGGAAUCUUCCGCAAUGGGCGAAAGCCUGACGGAGCAACGCCGCGUGAGUGAUGAAGGUCUUCGGAUCGUAAAACUCUGUUAUUAGGGAAGAACAUAUGUGUAAGUAACUGUGCACAUCUUGACGGUACCUAAUCAGAAAGCCACGGCUAACUACGUG